AGAGUUUGAUCCUGGCUCAGGACGAACGCUGGCGGCGCGCCUAACACAUGCAAGUCGAACGAGCGAGAGAGAGCUUGCUUUCUCGAGCGAGUGGCGAACGGGUGAGUAACGCGUGAGGAACCUGCCUCAAAGAGGGGGACAACAGUUGGAAACGACUGCUAAUACCGCAUAAGCCCACGGGUCGGCAUCGACCAGAGGGAAAAGGAGCAAUCCGCUUUGAGAUGGCCUCGCGUCCGAUUAGCUAGUUGGUGAGGUAAUGGCCCACCAAGGCGACGAUCGGUAGCCGGACUGAGAGGUUGAACGGCCACAUUGGGACUGAGACACGGCCCAGACUCCUACGGGAGGCAGCAGUGGGGAAUAUUGCACAAUGGGGGAAACCCUGAUGCAGCGACGCCGCGUGGAGGAAGAAGGUCUUCGGAUUGUAAACUCCUGUUGUUGAGGAAGAUAAUGACGGUACUCAACAAGGAAGUGACGGCUAACUACGUGCCAGCAGCCGCGGUAAAACGUAGGUCACAAGCGUUGUCCGGAAUUACUGGGUGUAAAGGGAGCGCAGGCGGGAAGACAAGUUGGAAGUGAAAUCUAUGGGCUCAACCCAUAAACUGCUUUCAAAACUGUUUUUCUUGAGUAGUGCAGAGGUAGGCGGAAUUCCCGGUGUAGCGGUGGAAUGCGUAGAUAUCGGGAGGAACACCAGUGGCGAAGGCGGCCUACUGGGCACCAACUGACGCUGAGGCUCGAAAGUGUGGGUAGCAAACAGGAUUAGAUACCCUGGUAGUCCACACCGUAAACGAUGAUUACUAGGUGUUGGAGGAUUGACCCCUUCAGUGCCGCAGUUAACACAAUAAGUAAUCCACCUGGGGAGUACGACCGCAAGGUUGAAACUCAA
rnacentral:rRNA from 1 species